CUGGAGUGGACCAUCACCUCACUACCUGGAUCCUGGACUACCUCACCGACCGACCACAGUAUGUGAGGACUCAGGGCUGUGUGUCGGACAGGGUCGUCUGCAGUACGGGGGCCCCACAGGGAACGGUUCUGGCUCCGUUCCUCUUCACCAUCUACACUGCAGACUUCUCCCACAAUUCCACCCAGUGCUUCCUGCAGAAGUUCUCUGAUGAUUCUGCAAUAGUCGGCCUCAUCACUGAUGGGGACGACAAGGAGUACAGAGGUCUGACCCAAGACUUUGUGGACUGGUGCCAGCUGAACUACCUCCAGAUCAACGCCAGUAAAACCAAGGAACUGGUGGUAGACUUCCGCAGGCACAAGCAUAUUCUAUUUUUAUCUUAUUGUAUAUUUAUUUUAUUUUAUUCUACUGUAUAUAGUAUUUUAUUUUAUUCUAUUCUGUACAGUUGUGUACUGUAUUUAUUCUUAUUGUAUUCUAAUUUUUGCCUCAUAACUUUUGCACUGUCCACUUCCUGCUGUGACAAAACAAAAUUCCCACGUGUGGGACUAAUAAAGGUUAUCUUAUCUUAUCUUAUCUUAUCUUAUCUUAAGUUAUGUUGUAGGAAUAACUUGGGGGCCCAUGACCCUCUUACGGGACACGCCCAUCUGGGACUUUACACCAGUUGCACCUAAGAACUGAAGAAGCUUCUGGGAUGAGAGAUGAAACGUCUUCAAGAAACUUAAAGAAGUGCAGACGCUUUUCUUUCCAAGCUCCUUAGUCUAAUAGUUUACAGAUUAAAAUGAGAGAGAAGAAAAUAACUUACAGAUGCUAAAUUACAACACAGUUCCUCAAAAUUAUUGCAUGAAUCAACGUUUUGAUUCUGCAAGGUUUUUUUUGUUUUUUUGUAUUUUAUUAUUUAUUUUUUUUACAAAUAAAUUAGUUAUUCAUUGUACUAAAACAUUUUGAGAUAAAGAAAUAACAAAUAAGAGCUGUUGAAUGUAAAAUCCUAAAAUAACAGCUUUUUAAAUGUACACACAUCUAAACGCUGGAAACUAUGGUGGAGGGUAGCUCACAGACUCAGCUCUGCUGUCAAAAGGAAGCUUACAGGAAAUAACAGCUUAAUGUCUGCAGAGUCCACACGUUAGUUUGUUACACUGAGACAUUUGAAUGUUUUCUGGCAUUUGCCUUAUUUUAGUAAAACAUUUUUAUUUAGUUUUAUUUAGCUUUAAUUCACAUGUUGAGCUAUUUUUGUACGAUUUUUAAAAUAUUUUGCUCACAUUUUCACUUGUUUUAUUAAUUUUCUUUAUUAUUUUAUUCUUUUUAUUCUACCCUAUGUAUAUUUUCAUUUAUGUUUAUGCUUAUUUAAAACAUUGCAUGUUAAUUAAUGUGAGCACUUAAACAUAAGCAACAUUUUAACUUUUUAUUUUAUUUUGUCGACAUUUUUGUUUACAUCCGUUUCCUUCAGUUUUUUGUUGUUGUUUCUUUCUUUUUCAAAUUCAGGGUCAUAUUUUGGCUGCUCUAACGGGAAGCUUGGGACAAAUAAAGUGUAUUAAUAAGCGAACAGACUCUAGUAAUUAAUGACUACGUAUGUACUGACGUCAAACGUAUGCUGUAGGAGCGUGUUGCGAUGGUAACGGACAACACACCGGACAAGAGCCGCUAAACAGGGUCGAGAUGACCAUGUCGCAGCUGGAUGUCGACGGUUUUCCAAUUUCGUGGAAAGAUCCACAGGAUGCAGACACAGUAUCCAUGUUUGAUGUGAUUUACGGCAAAGUGAGAGAGAAGAUCAUCCUGCAGCGGCUGAUAAUGAUUUCUCGGCUCCCCCACGACCUUGCUGAUAGGACAGACCUGGGAGCUCAUUAUGAAAAUCUCAACUUUCAGCUGAACAAACAGUACAUAUGGGAUCACAUAACAGGCCUGCUGCUGAUUUAUCCAUCCUACCUGCUGCACAUCAUUGAAGUAAGUUCUCCUGCACAGAAACAACAAAUGUAUGGCUGAAGUUUGUGAAAGUGUGUGCUCAAAGUUUGCUGUGCCUCUCUCUUCCAGUCGUC
ensembl:lncRNA